GCUCAAUACCGUAGCAUUUGGGAUAAAGAGAACUUCAAGAAAACUGCUGAGAAGAAUAAAAGAAACAGAAAUUCGGACUGUGGGGGAUUGGGACCGUCACUGCGCACUGCAGGUUCAAUCCCCAUGACUGAGCAUCGGAGAAGAUUGAAAGAAAAACUUGGAGAAUAGCCCUCCCAUGCAGCAUUGUUCCAAGAAACACACAAGCGCAAAAAGACUAUUGAGUUUGUUUGCAAAAAAGCGCAACUAGUAAUGGAGGCUGUAAUUGAAAAACAUCAAACUCAACCUGAGCUUGGAGAUUCAAAUGUGUGGUACGAGGAAACCGGUGGCCUUAAGAAAGGA